rnacentral:tRNA from 1 species
AAGAUUUUAAGUUAACUUAUUAACCAAACUUUAAACCUUCAAAGUUUACAAUAUAUUUUUUUAUAAGUCUUA